rnacentral:lncRNA from 1 species
CUCGAACUCAGAAAUCCGCCUGCCUCUGCUUCUCAAGUGCUGGGAUUAAAGGCGUGCGCCACCACCGCCCGGCCAGCCCUCAGGAAUCUUACAAGGUGGUUAACCCGCUUACCAGGAAAACCCUAACCUCCCUUAUCUGCCGGCAACGGUGAGCUACAUCAGGUGUGUUGCAUUCUGGGAGGCAAACUGGAAGUUCGUUUCUUUCUUCCCAAAGAGUAGUCUAACUUGGUGGUUUCGCUUCACACACCCUCACAACAGGCAUCUUGGACUACUGACCAGCAUCUUAGUACGGAGGCCUCACGACUCUGCGCAACAUUCAUCCUUUCCUUCCUCCUUCAGGUUUGGCCUCUUCCAAAAUCUCCUUUUUUUUUUUAAAGAUUUAUUUAUUUUAUGUAUGUGAGUCUACUGUAGCUGUACAGAUGGUUGUGAGCCUUCAUGUGGUUGUUGGGAAUUGAAUUUUUAGGACCUCAGCUCACUCUGGUCAACCCCACUUGCUCUGGUAGGCCUGGCAUGCUCCACUCAAUUCUGCUCGCUCAGCCCCUGCUUGCACCAGAAGAGGGCAUCAGAUCUCAUGAUGGGUGGUUGUAAGCCAUCAUGUGGUUGCUGGGAUUUGAACUCUGGACCUUUGGAAAAGCAGUCAGUGCUCUCCUGAUGAGCCAUCUUGCCAGCUCCCGUACUUCCAAAAUCUUAA